AUGGACCUGCGGUGCAUUAGCUUGUUGGUGGGGUAAUGGCCUACCAAGGCGAUGAUGCAUAGCCGAGUUGAGAGACUGAUCGGCCACAAUGGGACUGAGACACGGCCCAUACUCCUACGGGAGGCAGCAGUAGGGAAUCUUCCACAAUGGGCGCAAGCCUGAUGGAGCAACACCGCGUGAGUGAAGAAGGGUUUCGGCUCGUAAAGCUCUGUUGUUAAAGAAGAACAUGCGUGAGAGUAACUGUUCACGCAUUGACGGUAUUUAACCAGAAAGUCACGGCUAACUACGUGCCAGCAGCCGCGGUAAUACGUAGGUGGCAAGCGUUAUCCGGAUUUAUUGGGCGUAAAGAGAGUGCAGGCGGUUUACUAAGUCUGAUGUGAAAGCCUUCGGCUUAACCGGAGAAGGGCAUCGGAAACUGGCUAACUUGAGUGCAGAAGAGGGUAGUGGAACUCCAUGUGUAGCGGUGGAAUGCGUAGAUAUAUGGAAGAACACCAGUGGCGAAGGCGGCUACCUGGUCUGUAACUGACGCUGAGACUCGAAAGCAUGGGUAGCGAACAGGAUUAGAUACCCUGGUAGUCCAUGCCGUAAACGAUGAGUGCUAGGUGUUGGAGGGUUUCCGCCCUUCAGUGCCGGAGCUAACGCAUUAAGCACUCCGCCUGGGGAGUACGACCGCAAGGUUGAAACUCAAAGGAAUUGACGGGGGCCCGCACAAGCGGUGGAGCAUGUGGUUUAAUUCGAAGCAACGCGAAGAACCUUACCUGGUCUUGACAUCCCGAUGACCGGUCUAGAGAUAGACUUUUCUCUUCGGAGACAUCGGUGACAGGUGGUGCAUGGUUGUCGUCAGCUCGUGUCGUGAGAUGUUGGGUUAAGUCCCGCAACGAGCGCAACCCUUAUUGUUAGUUGAUACAUUUAGUUGAUCACUCUAGCGAGACUGCCGGUGACAAACCGGAGGAAGGUGGGGACGACGUCAGAUCAUCAUGCCCCUUAUGACCUGGGCUACACACGUGCUACAAUGGACGGUACAACGAGUCGCGAACUCGCGAGGGCAAGCAAAUCUCUGAAAACCGUUCUCAGUUCGGACUGCAGGCUGCAACUCGCCUGCACGAAGUCGGAAUCGCUAGUAAUCGCGGAUCAGCAUGCCGCGGUGAAUACGUUCCCGGGCCUUGUACACACCGCCCGUCA
rnacentral:rRNA from 1 species